AGUGGGAGCCUCUUUAUGGGGUGACUGCGUACCUUUUGUAUAAUGGGUCAGCGACUUAUAUUCUGUAGCAAGGUUAACCGAAUAGGGGAGCCGAAGGGAAACCGAGUCUUAACUGGGCGUUAAGUUGCAGGGUAUAGACCCGAAACCCGGUGAUCUAGCCAUGGGCAGGUUGAAGGUUGGGUAACACUAACUGGAGGACCGAACCGACUAAUGUUGAAAAAUUAGCGGAUGACUUGUGGCUGGGGGUGAAAGGCCAAUCAAACCGGGAGAUAGCUGGUUCUCCCCGAAAGCUAUUUAGGUAGCGCCUCGUGAAUUCAUCUCCGGGGGUAGAGCACUGUUUCGGCAAGGGGGUCAUCCCGACUUACCAACCCGAUGCAAACUGCGAAUACCGGAGAAUGUUAUCACGGGAGACACACGGCGGGUGCUAACGUCCGUCGUGAAGAGGGAAACAACCCAGACCGCCAGCUAAGGUCCCAAAGUCAUGGUUAAGUGGGAAACGAUGUGGGAAGGCCCAGACAGCCAGGAUGUUGGCUUAGAAGCAGCCAUCAUUUAAAGAAAGCGUAAUAGCUCACUGGUCGAGUCGGCCUGCGCGGAAGAUGUAACGGGGCUAAACCAUGCACCGAAGCUGCGGCAGCGACGCUUAUGCGUUGUUGGGUA
rnacentral:rRNA from 1 species